rnacentral:rRNA from 1 species
GGACUACAGGGGUUUCUAAUCCUGUUUGCUCCCCACGCUUUCGUGUCUCAGUGUCAGUGUUGGCCCAGAUAGUCGCCUUCGCCACAGAUGUUCCUUCCGAUCUCUACGCAUUUCACUGCUACACCGGAAAUUCCACUAUCCUCUACCGCACUCUAGUCGCCCAGUAUCCACUGCAAUUCCCAGGUUGAGCCCAGGGCUUUCACAGCAGACUUAAACAACCACCUACACACGCUUUACGCCCAGUAAUUCCGAGUAACGCUUGCACCCUUCGUAUUACCGCGGCGGCUGGCAC